rnacentral:rRNA from 1 species
CCUACGUGUGGCAGCAGUGAGGAAUAUUGGUCAAUGGGCGGGAGCCUGAACCAGCCAAGCCGCGUGAGGGAAGAAGGUACAGCGUAUCGUAAACCUCUUUUGUCAGGGAACAAAGGCGGGGACUAGUCCCCGGAUGAGGGUACCUGAAGAAAAAGCAUCGGCUAACUCCGUGCCAGCAGCCGCGGUAAUACGGAGGAUGCGAGCGUUAUCCGGAUUUGUUGGGUUUAAAGGGUGCGUAGUCUGUGAGGUAAGUCAGCGGGGAAAUGCCCCGGCUCAACGGGGUGAAGUGCCAUUGAUACUGGCUUGCUGGAAUGCGGAUGCCGUAGGAGGAAUGCGUGGUGGAGCGGUGAAAUGAAGAGAUAUCACACAGAACACCGAUUGCGAAGGCAUCUAACGAAUCCGCGAUUGACGCUGAUGCACGAAAGCGUGGGUAUCAAACAGGAUUAGAUACCCCAGUAGUC